GGGACAAAAAAUGGAGAAGAGACGGAGGGAAAGAAGGUCUGGCGACUGGUCCAAUUUGGGUUCCAUCUCAAGGAGAGGAUACAAGACCUGUCACUAUUAAUGAAGCAAUGCUCUUCGGCAGAUUAUUCAAGAACAUUUUCAGAGACUUAAACUUAGAAGAACAUAUUUCCCUUCGAAGAAAAACUAAGAAGAACAGCAUUCUUCCAGAAGAUCAGCAUCCCUGCAAGUCUUGGGCAUGGAGUGGAUGUGUGGGCUGCUUGGUAGCAGAGUCAGGAGAAGGAAAAGCUUCGCCAUGAAGACCUUUCUACUCACCAGUACUAGCUGCGGUGCAACUCAUUGGUAGAAAACAUGGAGAUGGUAAGGAUCAGUUGUAUGCUUCAUUUGAGCACAAAAUGACACAGGAGUUCUUUCUGCUCUGCCUCUAGUGAGCACA